rnacentral:rRNA from 1 species
GGAGGGUCAUUGGAAACUGGGGAACUUGAGUGCAGAAGAGGAGAGUGGAAUUCCACGUGUAGCGGUGAAAUGCGUAGAGAUGUGGAGGAACACCAGUGGCGAAGGCGACUCUCUGGUCUGUAACUGACGCUGAGGAGCGAAAGCGUGGGGAGCGAACAGGAUUAGAUACCCUGGUAGUCCACGCCGUAAACGAUGAGUGCUAAGUGUUAGGGGGUUUCCGCCCCUUAGUGCUGCAGCUAACGCAUUAAGCACUCCGCCUGGGGAGUACGGUCGCAAGACUGAAACGCAAAGGAAUUGACGGGGGCCCGCACAAGCGGUGGAGCAUGUGGUUUAAUUCGAAGCAACGCGAAGAACCUUACCAGGUCUUGACAUCCUCUGACAAUCCUAGAGAUAGGACGUCCCCUUCGGGGGCAGAGUGACAGGUGGUGCAUGGUUGUCGUCAGCUCGUGUCGUGAGAUGUUGGGUUAAGUCCCGCAACGAGC